rnacentral:rRNA from 1 species
ACCCUUGUGUAUUAUUACUUUGUUGCUUUGGCGAGCUGCCUUCGGGCCUUGUAUGCUCGCCAGAGAAUACCAAAACUCUUUUUAUUAAUGUCGUCUGAGUACUAUAUAAUAGUUAAAACUUUCAACAACGGAUCUCUUGGUUCUGGCAUCGAUGAAGAACGCAGCGAAAUGCGAUAAGUAAUGUGAAUUGCAGAAUUCAGUGAAUCAUCGAAUCUUUGAACGCACAUUGCGCCCCUUGGUAUUCCGGGGGGCAUGCCUGUUCGAGCGUCAUUUCAACCCUCAAGCUUAGCUUGGUAUUGAGUCUAUGUCAGUAAUGGCAGGCUCUAAAAUCAGUGGCGGCGCCGCUGGGUCCUGAACGUAGUAAUAUCUCUCGUUACAGGUUCUCGGUGUGCUUCUGCCAAAACCCAAAUUUUUCUAUGGUUGACCUCGGAUCAGGUAGGGAUACCCGCUGAACUUAAGCAUAUCAAUAAGCGGAGGAAG